rnacentral:rRNA from 1 species
UACAGAGGUCUCAAGCGUUGUUCGGAUUCAUUGGGCGUAAAGGGUGCGUAGGUGGCGGGGUAAGUCAGGUGUGAAAUUUCGGAGCUUAACUCCGAAACUGCAUUUGAUACUGCCUUGCUUGAGGACUGGAGAGGAGACUGGAAUUCAUGGUGUAGCAGUGAAAUGCGUAGAGAUCAUGAGGAAGACCAGUGGCGAAGGCGGGUCUCUGGACAGUUCCUGACGCUGAGGCACGAAGGUCAGGGGAGCAAACGGG